AAACGGCCGCGUUAGCGUGAGCGUGCUAAGGUAGCGUAAUAAAUAGCCUUUUAAUUGGAGGCCAGUGAAUGGCAAGACUAAGGACAUCUGUACCGUGUAUGUCAAAAAAAUUUUUCAUCUGAGUGAAAAGACUCAGAUAAUAAAGGAAGACGAAAAGACCCCGCGGAACUUUACCUUUUCUUGUAUAAAUAUGCCUAUAAACACAAAAACAAAAGGUUUGAUUGGGGCAAUCUCGGAACCAAACAAACUUCCGACUCACCUUAUAAAAGAAUACAAAACUUAAUAAGGACUAAAAAGAAGUUACCCCGGGGAUAACAGCGUAAUCCAACUUGAAAGUACACAUCGAAAGUUGGGUUUGCGACCUCGAUGUUGGCUUAAGG
rnacentral:rRNA from 1 species